ACUCAAAUGAAUUGACGGGGGCCCGCACAAGCGGUGGAUUAUGUGGUUUAAUUCGAUGAUACGCGAGGAACCUUACCAAGACUUAAAUGGGAAAUGACAGAUUUAGAAAUAGAUCCUUCUUCGGACAUUUUUCAAGGUGCUGCAUGGUUGUCGUCAGCUCGUGCCGUGAGGUGUUAGGUUAAGUCCUGCAACGAGCGCAACCCCUGUCACUAGUUGCUAACAUUCAGUUGAGGACUCUAGUGAGACUGCCUACGCAAGUAGAGAGGAAGGUGGGGAUGACGUCAAAUCAUCACGGCCCUUACGUCUUGGGCCACACACGUAAUACAAUGGCCGGUACAGAGGGCAGCUACACAGCGAUGUGAUGCAAAUCUCGAAAGCCGGUCUCAGUUCGGAUUGGAGUCUGCAACUCGACUCUAUGAAGCUGGAAUCGCUAGUAAUCGCGCAUCAGCCAUGGCGCGGUGAAUACGUUCCCGGGCCUUGUACACACCGCCCGU
rnacentral:rRNA from 1 species